rnacentral:tRNA from 1 species
GGUUGCGUAGCUCAGUGAUUAGAGCAUCCGACUGUCGAUCGGAAGGCCGCGGGUUUGAUUCCCGUCGCAAUCGCCA